UACGUAGGGGGCAAGCGUUGUCCGGAAUCACUGGGCGUAAAGCGCGCGCAGGCGGUCAUCUACGUCUGGGGUGAAAGCCCGGGGCUCAACUCCGGAUCCGGUUCCCAAACUGCUAGACUCGAGCGUAUCAGAGGACAGUGGAAUUCCCGGUGUAGCGGUAAUAUGCGUAGAUAUCGGGAGGAACACCAGUGGCGAAGGCGACUGUCUGGGGUAUUGCUGACGCUGAGGCACGAAAGCCAGGGGAGCGAACGGG
rnacentral:rRNA from 1 species